GUCUUGAUAGUAACACUUGGGAUCCAGGCUGACUGGUCAGGGGCCUGAAGUGACAGAGAUUGAAAGACUGGGGACUAGGAGGUCUAAGGUAGCGGCAUGUGGAUGGGCAUGUUCAAGGCGCCAUGUUGAAGAUCUUCAUGUCAUUCCUUAAUGACCACCAGAUAUCAUCCUCCAGGGAAAGGACACUCAAAAACCGUCAAAACAAAAGAAGCCAGGGAGUUGACAUUAGCCAUUAGUGUCUGAAUGACAUGGCCAUGGUGGCAGAGGUGGAGGUCCUGCCUGGGUCCAACAACAUGGGCUCUCACUCACCGGGACCGACUUCUGCUACUGCUAUGUUCAACCUGCCAGCAACAGAGACUAAUGCGGAGACUCCAAAAUGGCAUGAUACCUCAAGGAGACCAACUGGACACUUGAAGGCAAUUUGGAAUUGGGAAACUUGGAGAUUGACGGAGUAAGCAGCGGAGCAGAGGCAGAAGGGGUGCUUUGGGAGAUGACACCAGUCUUCCUCUAGCUCACGUGGAAGAAGGAAAUCAUAAAAAGUAGCUGUGAUAGCUGCCUUCAAAUAUCGGAGGUGUGUCAUGUGGGGAAAGAAUAACACUUGCUCAGAGGUGCUCCAGAGCAUCAUGGCUG
rnacentral:lncRNA from 1 species